rnacentral:rRNA from 1 species
GAUGAACGCUGGCGGCGUGCCUAAUACAUGCAAGUCGAGCGAACAGACGAUGAGCUUGCUCCUCUGACGUUAGCGGCGGACGGGUGAGUAACACGUGGAUAACCUACCUAUAAGACUGGGAUAACUUCGGGAAACCGGAGCUAAUACCGGAGAAGAUAUUGAACCGCAUGGGUGAAUGGUGAAAGACGGUUUUGCGGGCACGUAUAGAUGGAUCCGCGCCGCAUUAGCUAGUUGGUAAGGUAACGGCUUACCAAGGCGACGAUGCGUAGCCGACCUGAGAGGGUGAUAGGCCACACGGGAACUGAGACACGGUCCAGACUCCUACGGGAGGCAGCAGUAGGGAAUCUUCCGCAAUGGGCGAAAGCCUGACGGAGCAACGCCGCGUGAGUGAUGAAGGUCUUCGGAUCGUAAAACUCUGUUAUUAGGGAAGAACAAAUGUGUAAGUAACUAUGCACGUCUUGACGGUACCUAAUCAGAAAGCCACGGCUAACUACGUG